rnacentral:rRNA from 1 species
AGUGAACGCUGGCGGUAGGCCUAACACAUGCAAGUCGUACGGCAGCACAGUAAGAGCUUGCUCUUACGGGUGGCGAGUGGCGGACGGGUGAGGAAUACAUCGGAAUCUACUUUUUCGUGGGGGAUAACGUAGGGAAACUUACGCUAAUACCGCAUACGACCUACGGGUGAAAGCAGGGGAUCUUCGGACCUUGCGCGAUUGAAUGAGCCGAUGUCGGAUUAGCUAGUUGGCGGGGUAAAGGCCCACCAAGGCGACGAUCCGUAGCUGGUCUGAGAGGAUGACCAGCCACACUGGAACUGAGACACGGUCCAGACUCCUACGGGAGGCAGCUGUGGGGAAUAUUGGACAAUGGGCGCAAGCCUGAUCCAGCCAUACCGCGUGGGUGAAGAAGGCCUUCGGGUUGUAAAGCCCUUUUGUUGGGAAAGAAAAGCAGCAGGUUAAUACCCCGCUGUUCUGACGGUACCCAAAGAAUAAGCACCGGCUAACUUCGU